rnacentral:rRNA from 1 species
UGAAUUUAAGCAUAUAAGUAAGCGGAGGACAAGAAACUAAACAGGAUCCCCAUAGUAAUGGCGAAUGAACCGGGAUAAACUCAGCAUGGAAAUUGGGGCCUUUGGCUUUGACUUGUAAUCUGGUGAGGCAUUGCCAACAGAGGCGCAUAUGUAAGUCUCUUGGAAAAGAGCAUCAACGAAGGUGAGAGUCCUGAUUGUCAUGUGCAGCCCCCCUGUGCACGGUGUGCCUUCUAAGAGUCACGUUCCUUGGGAUUGGAGCGCAAAUUGGGUGGUAACUUUCAUCUGAAGUUAAACAAUGGUUUGGGACCGAUAGGAAGCAAGUACCAUGAGGGAAAGGUGAAAAGGACUUUGGAAAGAGAGUUAAAAGUGCCUGAAAUUGCUGAAGGGGAAGCGAAUGGAACCAGUAGUGCUGGGUGAGAUUGUCACAUGCCACAAGGAUUGGUUGCUGCCACAACGCAAGUGUGAUGGCGAUGUGUGAAUUGCUAGUGUGUGGUGUGUCUUACCUAGUGGGUCAUUGUGGGUUUAUGCAUUAAGAUAAGUCAAAGCAAGCGGGAGCAAGUUUACGAGUUUGUGAGUGUGUGUUGUUAUGCGUGUGCGUAAGCUUUAGUGUUUGUCUGGCUGCAGGGCUGUCCAUCCUCAAGCAGGACUUGUGGUUGCGAUGAGCCUAACCUUCUGCACAGAUCUUGACGAAAUGGUUUCAUUCGACCCGUCUUGAAACACGGACCAAGGA